rnacentral:rRNA from 1 species
UACGGAGGGAGCUAGCGUUAUUCGGAAUUACUGGGCGUAAAGCGCACGUAGGCGGCUUUGUAAGUUAGAGGUGAAAGCCUGGAGCUCAACUCCAGAAUUGCCUUUAAGACUGCAUCGCUUGAAUCCAGGAGAGGUGAGUGGAAUUCCGAGUGUAGAGGUGAAAUUCGUAGAUAUUCGGAAGAACACCAGUGGCGAAGGCGACUUACUGGACACGUAUUGACGCUGAGGUGCGAAAGCGUGGGGAGCAAACAGG